GUUUAUUUAUAAAAUGGCGGCUAUGGCGAAAUGUCUGAAUUCCAGUAGAUAUCAGGAUGUCUAAAGCCGUCGAGGAUGACAAGAUGGGGAUUGAGCUUCCAGUGGACAGUACAGACUCUGAGAGGAACAGUCCAGAGGCCAGCGAUCAGACCCAGCCAAUGAAAACAAGUCCUUUCUGCCUGUCACCCGCACCCAGCAACACAAAGGUGUGUGUGUGUGUGUGUGUGUGUGUGUGUGUGUGUGUGUGUGUGUUAAUGCCC
rnacentral:lncRNA from 1 species